rnacentral:lncRNA from 1 species
CUGGCAUCUUACAUCAAGUGAUCCCAGAAAACAUCACAGAAAUUCAUAAAGAAUAUUCUGUAUUUAAGAGAAAGUGCUCACUGGAGCUCUCCUGGAUCCAUGAUUGUGCUUGAAAGACAGCAGACCGCAUACUGACUCUUCCACCCUGGGCAGGGUGAGCCUUCCCCAUCUCACGCUCUCACGGGGCUGGGUGAGGUGUCCAGCUUGGGUUAGAGAGAGCACAGGUGCUUCUGUGACUUGGUGCCUUUUACUGCAAAGCAAGGUUUCCGCUCCUUUCUUCAGAGGAUGCCAGUAUUGAGAAGGGAGCUGCUGAGCCACUGGAGGCCAUCAGAGGAAGAGUCAGGGUCAUGGUGCCCAUACCUACCUGCAGCCUAGAUAUGUGAUGGACGGAGGCCAGACACCGAGGCAGGCUGUGUGGUUGGCUUGCUUUUACCCACACCUCUAGUACAGCCCACAGUGGCGAUUCUCAAGGCAGAAACAGUUCAUCGGGGACCAUUUACAAGGUGAGUCUUCCGUUGUGUGGGCUAGAAACAUGGCCA